GGUCUGAGAGGAUGACCAGCCACACUGGAACUGAGACACGGUCCAGACUCCUACGGGAGGCAGCAGUGGGGAAUAUUGCACAAUGGGCGCAAGCCUGAUGCAGCCAUGCCGCGUGUGUGAAGAAGGCCUUCGGGUUGUAAAGCACUUUCAGCGAGGAGGAAGGUGGUGAGCUUAAUAAGCUCAUCAAUUGACGUUACCCGCAGAAGAAGCACCGGCUAACUCCGUGCCAGCAGCCGCGGUAAUACGGAGGGUGCAAGCGUUAAUCGGAAUUACUGGGCGUAAAGCGCACGCAGGCGGUCUGUCAAGUCGGAUGUGAAAUCCCCGGGCUCAACCUGGGAACUGCAUUCGAAACUG
rnacentral:rRNA from 1 species